rnacentral:rRNA from 1 species
UACAGAGGGUGCAAGCGUUGUUCGGAUUUACUGGGCGUAAAGGGCGCGUAGGCGGUCAGCACAAGUCAGUUGUGAAAUCUCCGGGCUUAACUCGGAAAGGUCAACUGAUACUGUGCGACUAGAGUGCAGAAGGGGCAACUGGAAUUCUCGGUGUAGCGGUGAAAUGCGUAGAUAUCGAGAGGAACACCUGCGGCGAAGGCGGGUUGCUGGGCUGACACUGACGCUGAUGCGCGAAAGCCAGGGGAGCGAACGGG